rnacentral:tRNA from 1 species
UGGGUGUGUAGCUCAAUCGGUAGAGCAGCGGUCUCCAAAGCCGCCGGUUGCACGUUCGAGUCGUGCCGCGCCCGCUCC